rnacentral:misc_RNA from 1 species
UACGAAGGGGGCUAGCGUUGUUCGGAAUUACUGGGCGUAAAGCGCUCGCAGGCGGAUUGAUAAGUCAGGGGUGAAAUCCCGGGGCUCAACCUCGGAAUUGCCUUUGAUACUGUCUGUCUUGAGUCCGGGAGAGGUGAGUGGAAUUCCUAGUGUAGAGGUGAAAUUCGUAGAUAUUAGGAAGAACACCAGUGGCGAAGGCGGCUCACUGGCCCGGUACUGACGCUCAUGAGCGAAAGCGUGGGGAGCAAACAGG